UCAUCGGUGGUUCAGUGGUGCAUAAUGCUCGCCUGCCACGCGGGCGGCCCGGGUUCGAUUCCCGGCCAAUGCA
rnacentral:tRNA from 1 species